AUGAGAAUGUGGGGGGACUCUGUUCAAUCCCUCCUCGUGGCGUCUGGUACCAUUCUAAACGAGAUUCUUAUUUGGAAAUUGGUACCCGAAACCCUGAGUACUUCGUUAUUAAGCUCGGACGAGUUGGGUGCUACUGGUGUAGAUAACAGUGAAAAUGUUCAUCUUAGUGAUAAUAAAUACAUGGCUGUUCAUAUUGGAAGGCUGAAGGAACACGAAGGUUCAAUAUUUCGAAUAGCUUGGUCCUCUGAUGGAUCAAAGUUCAUGUCCGUUUCUGAUGAUCGCAGUGCUCGCAUGUGGAUGUUAAGUUGUCAGCCACAGGAUCUUACCAAUCAAACAGCCAAAAUUGAUGAUGUGGACAUUAUACCCAAACUGACACUUUUCGGACACAGUGCUAGAAUUUGGGAUUGUUGCAUAUCUGAUUCUAUAGUUAUAACUGCUGGUGAGGAUUGUACUUGCUGCAUUUGGGGCAUGGAUGGAAAGCUAAUCAAAACAUUCAAAGAACACAUUGGCCGAGGAUUAUGGCGAUGUUUAUAUAAUCCAAGCUCACUAGUUCUGAUCACCGCUGGGUUUGAUUCUGCAAUCAAAGUGCACCACCUAUGUAACUCCUCUUUUCAUGACAUAUUGGAAGAAAACGUGGCCCCAGAUGGUCUGAAAUACGAUUCUGAGGUGUUUGAAAUAUCUUCUCCUAUAGUAUCAGGACAGCAUGGUGCCUUGGAUAGCAAAAGUGAAUAUGUCCGAUGCUUACAUUUUGUGCAAGAAAAUGUUCUCUAUGUUGCCACAAACAAUGGAUAUCUGCAUCAUGCUGAGCUCUCUGAUACAAAAGAUCCAAGAUGGACUGAGGUUAUUCAGGUCACUGAGAAAGCACCAAUUAUAUGUAUGGAUGUAAUGACAGGGUGCUCAGACAUUUCUUUGGAUAAGGAGGAUAUAAUUGCCCUUGGAGACGGUCGAGGAAAUGUUACUAUCGUCCGUUUAAGCAGUCCCAGUCUUGAACCUAAAAUAGAUUUAUCUGUUACCUGGCCAGCUGAAAAGGAUAGGCAACUACUAGGACUAUACUGGUGCAAGUCCCUUGAAUGUAGCCACAUUUUCACAGCUGAUCCUAGAGGCGCUCUUAAGUUAUGGAACGUAAGGAAUGCCCUUUUGUCAAAUGGCCAUGCGAUUACUACAGCUCAGGAGGUUUCACUUGUUGCAAUGUUUGAAUCUCCCUUUGGGGCUCGAAUCAUGUGUUUAGAUGUAUCACUUCAGGAUGAGAUCCUUAUAACAGGUGAUAAGAAGGGUAACAUCGCUGCCUUUCCUUUUCAUAAAACAUUGGCAGCACAUGACAGCAGUGAGGCACAACAGAAGAUACCUUUACGUGACCGUUUUAAAGGAGCUCAUGGCAUUUCUAGUGUCACAAGUGUUCAGAUAAUCACCUCAGCUUCAGAUCAUAUUGAAAUCCACACUACUGGGGGAGACGGCUGUAUUUGCUUCUUCAAGUAUGGGAGACAUGUCAAAAAAGUUGAAUUUGUUGGAAUGAGACAAUUGAAAGAAUUAGGCACCAUUCAAUCCAUCUACGCAAAUCAUGCCUCUGGUAACCAAUUGGUUGGUACCUAUGCAAUAGGUUUCACCUCUGUGGAUUUUAUCAUUUGGGACCUUGAAAAUGAUACAAAGCUGGUUCAAAUAUCCUGCGGAGGAUGGCGGCGCCCUUACUCUUAUUAUCUUGGGACAGUCCCUGAGUAUCAAAACUGUUUUGCCUUCGUGAAGGACCACAGUAUUCAUGUCCACAGACACUGGGCACCAGCUCAAGAUAGGAAGCUGCUUCCUCAAGUUUUUCAUACCCAGUUCCAUGGAAGAGAAGUGCAUUCUCUUUGCUUCAUAGAUCCAGCAAGCUAUUCACAUCCUGAGAGGAGUACAGAUUUGUGGAUUGCAACCGGGUGUGAAGAUGGAACCGUCCGGCUUACAGGGUACUCGGCUAGUAGUGCUGGAAAAUGGUGCUCAUCCAAGCUGCUUGGGGAGCAUGUUGGCGGGUCAGCUGUGAGAGAUACGUGUUUCAUCCCAAAAACAUACACAUUAGCAGAUAAAUCGCGCAACUCUAGUGUCAGUUCUGCCGACACUUGGGUCGAAAACAAGGACACCACUUACAUAUUGAUAUCUGUUGGAUCAAAGCAAGUUCUGACGGCUUGGAUUCUAGAACCUAGGAUUGCAGAGAACAACAAGCAAGUGUGCUCGAGUGGUCUAGAUUUAGACACCAAGCAAGGCUCAGAAUGCUCAGACAAUAGUGAUUCAGCCGUUACAUUUCAGUGGCUUUCUACCCACAUGCCACCAAAGCUUGGCACCAAGAGGUUGAAAGCUGAUCAUGUAAAGCUGAACUUCGAGGAAGGCGGGAAAGGAAAUUCCUCUGCUCAACCCAAUCUGGCUAUUAUGGAUCAGAUGGAAAAUGACUGGCGUUACCUUUCUGUUACAGCAUUUCUUUUGAAACAUCCGGCUACCGAGUUGACAGUUUGUUUUGUGGUUGUUGCUUGCUCUGAUGCAACAGUUAUUGUCCGUGCGCUUCUUUUGCCUUCUCGGCUAUGGUUUGAUGUUGCCUUGUUGGUCCCACAGGCAUCACCAGUUCUUGUGCUACGGCAUAUUGUUGUCGCCUCUGGUGCCCACUGUGAAGGUGAUGUUUAUAAUGGCGAUAGGUACAUUAUUGUGAGUGGAUCUACAGAUGGUAGCAUCACAUUGUGGGACCUAACAGACACCAUUCAUGGCUUUAUGCAACUAGUAUCAGAGACUAAGCCGCACAUGGUUAUCGACUGCCAAAAGCGGCCCAAGACAGGAAGAGGGAGUCAGGGUGGUCGUCGUCGGUGGCGACCACUGGCAAACAGUUCUGUGAAAAAGGGUAACGAACAAGCAUUGCUCCCCAGUGAGAACAAUCUGAGUAGCUCGCGCGCUGCUGCAGAGAGUCCACAUGAAACUUCAGGAGUGGCAGAAACCGAGGCCAUAAAAAACACCGAGGACACAGUUUCAAGUACCCAGUCAUGUGAUAUACCUGAGCUGCAGCCAUUGCAGAUGUUCUCCGGUGUUCACCAGUCAGGCGUCAACUGCCUCCAUGUUUCAGAGAUGGAGCAGCGAUCAAGCUCUGCACCUGGCUUGUUUUACUGCAUCGUAAGUGGCGGUGAUGAUCAGGCGGUUCAGUGUUUUGUUUUCACAUUAGGACCCCCACAGGGCUGCUCAACUAAUACGUCAAACAUAAUCUCGCCUCCUGACAAAGGUGGAUUUCAAAUACUUGGCCAACACACGGUUCCAUCGGCUCACGGAUCAGCAGUGAAAGGUAUCUGGACGGACGGUGCCUGGGCUUUCUCCACCGGGCUUGAUCAGAGAAUCAGAUGUUGGAAGAUGGGCCCGUCCGGCAAAUUCAUGGAGCAUUCCCAUGUUAUCAUCAGCGUGCCCGAGCCGGAAACUCUGGAUGUUUUCCAUGACCGUGGGAGCGGGAUAUACCACAUCGCCGUUGCAGGAAGAGGGAUGCAGAUGGUUGAGUUCUCGCCGCCUGAAGACGACUCGAUGAAGAUAGCGUGA
rnacentral:rRNA from 1 species